rnacentral:rRNA from 1 species
UACGAAGGGGGCUAGCGUUGCUCGGAAUCACUGGGCGUAAAGCGUGCGUAGACGGUAGCGUAAGUCAGAUGUGAAAGCCCCGGGCUCAACCUGGGAAUUGCAUUUGAGACUGCUCUGCUCGGGUGCGGAAGAGGGAAGCGGAACUUCCGGUGUAGCGGUGAAAUGCGUAGAUAUCGGAAGGAACACCAGUGGCGAAAGCGGCUUCCUGGUCCGACACCGACGUUCAGGCACGAAAGCGUGGGGAGCAAACAGG